GUGCCAGCAGCCGCGGUAAUACGUAGGGUGCAAGCGUUAUCCGGAAUUAUUGGGCGUAAAGAGCUCGUAGGCGGUUUGUCGCGUCUGCUGUGAAAUCCCGAGGCUCAACCUCGGGCCUGCAGUGGGUACGGGCAGACUAGAGUGCGGUAGGGGAGAUUGGAAUUCCUGGUGUAGCGGUGGAAUGCGCAGAUAUCAGGAGGAACACCGAUGGCGAAGGCAGAUCUCUGGGCCGUAACUGACGCUGAGGAGCGAAAGCAUGGGGAGCGAACAGGAUUAGAUACCCUGGUAGUCCAUGCCGUAAACGUUGGGCACUAGGUGUGGGGCUCAUUCCACGAGUUCCGCGCCGCAGCUAACGCAUUAAGUGCCCCGCCUGGGGAGUACGGCCGCAAGGCUAAAACUCAAAGGAAUUGACGGGGGCCCGCACAAGCGGCGGAGCAUGCGGAUUAAUUCGAUGCAACGCGAAGAACCUUACCAAGGCUUGACAUACACUGGAAUGUGCCAGAGAUGGUUCAGCCCUUUUGGGCUGGUGUACAGGUGGUGCAUGGUUGUCGUCAGCUCGUGUCGUGAGAUGUUGGGUUAAGUCCCGCAACGAGCGCAACCCUCGUUCUAUGUUGCCAGCACGUGAUGGUGGGAACUCAUAGGAGACUGCCGGGGUCAACUCGGAGGAAGGUGGGGAUGACGUCAAAUCAUCAUGCCCUUUAUGUCUUGGGCUUCACGCAUGCUACAAUGGUCGGUACAAAGGGUUGCGAUGCCGUGAGGUGGAGCGAAUCCCAGAAAGCCGAUCUCAGUUCGGAUCGUAGUCUGCAACUCCACUACGUGAAGUCGGAGUCGCUAGUAAUCGCAGAUCAGCAACGCUGCGGUGAAUACGUUCCCGGGCCUUGUACACACCGCCCGU
rnacentral:rRNA from 1 species